CAGCCGCCGCGGUAAAACGGAGGGUGCAAGCGUUAAUCGGAAUUACUGGGCGUAAAGCGUGCGUAGGCGGUUCGUUAAGUCUGUUGUGAAAGCCCCGGGCUCAACCUGGGACCUGCAUUUGUGACUGUAUAGCUAGAGUACGGUAGAGGGGGAUGGAAUUCCGCGUGUAGCAGUGAAAUGCGUAGAUAUGCGGAGGAACACCGAUGGCGAAGGCAAUCCCCUGGACCUGUACUGACGCUCAUGCACGAAAGCGUGGGGAGCAAACAGGAUUAGAUACCCCUGUAGUCCCUGUCUCUAUACC
rnacentral:rRNA from 1 species